rnacentral:tRNA from 1 species
AUUUAAAUAGUUUAAAGUUAAAAUUUAAUAUUGAAGAUAUUAAGAUAGUUAAAAAAUUUUUAAAUA